rnacentral:rRNA from 1 species
AGAGUUUGAUCCUGGCUCAGGAUUAACGCUAGCGGCAGGCAUAAUACAUGCAAGUUGAACGAGAUAAGUUUUAGCAAUAGAACUUUGAAAGUGGCGCACGGGUGCGUAACACGUAUGCAACCUGCCCCAAACAGGAGGAUAGCCUCUCGAAAGAGAGAUUAAUACUCCAUAAUAAUAUUGUUAGGCAUCUAAUGAUAUUUAAAGCUGAGGCGGUUUGGGAUGGGCAUGCGGUUGAUUAGGUAGUUGGUGAGGUAACGGCUCACCAAGCCAACGAUCAAUAGGGGGUCUGAGAGGAUGUCCCCCCACACUGGUACUGAGAUACGGACCAGACUCCUACGGGAGGCAGCAGUAGGGAAUAUUGGACAAUGGGGGCAACCCUGAUCCAGCCAUGCCGCGUGCAGGAAGACUGCCCUAUGGGUUGUAAACUGCUUUUGUACGGGAAGAAACCUCACUACGUGUAGUGAGUUGACGGUACCGUGAGAAUAAGGAUCGGCUAACUUCGUGCCAGCAGCCGCGGUAAUACGAAGGAUCCAAGCGUUGUCCGGAUUUACUGGGUUUAAAGGGUGCGUAGGCGGGCUAUUAAGUCAGUGGUGAAAGCCUACAG